AUGCCAAUCCGAGCGAUACCACCAGAAGAAAUUCCUCCUACGGCUGUUCCUCCCAUCCCUCUUUUGCUACCAUUACCUGAAGAAAAGAAACCACCAGCAAAACGUGUUGAAGUGACCAAAAAAGCUGUGAAGAAAGAUGCCAAAAAGGUUGUCGCAAAGCCCAAGGAAGAGGCACCACCACCUAAAGGUAUUAUGAUUUAUCAAAAUUCCAAGAAUUCCCCGGCAGUCCAGUAGUUAGGGCUUGCCACUUUCACUGCUGUGGGCCAGGUUCAAUCCCUGGUCAGGAAAGUAAGAUCCUGCGAGCUGCACCGCACUACCCCACCCCACCCCCCAAAAUUCAAUCUUAACUGCUUUUCACUUAGUUAAAAAAAUUAAAUCCAGAUAGGGAAGGACAGAGGAAGACUAAGAGUGUGACUUUAUAAAAUAGUACCUCUUCAUUUACUCACCCUCACACUCUUCUUUGACUCGGCCCUCACUUUCUCUUUCUCAACUUUCUUUAUUUUCCCAUUUUUCUCCUCCCCUGUCCUCCUUUUCCUGUGUCUGCCCAUGACACCCAAUGGCCACACCAGAGAGUUCUUAUUGUCUCUGGAUGGUAAUUUAAAGAAGGCACUGCCCUCCAACAUAUGGUCUUAAUCUAGUCACUCAAAUAGAAUGUUUUAAAGGGCUGGUGCUAGGUUUGAGUGGUUGCUCCAGCCUAGUUCAGCAUCUUUCCCAGUUCAGCUGAGCUAAAUGUCAAUACCCACAGAAGAAAAAUACUUUGUACAGGGGCAUCAAUUUACCUACUUUAAGUUUUCAUUGUCACUUGGAAAAUUUUUAGAAAGAAAAAUAGAUAGCUAAAUUUAAGCAAACAGUUUUAUCCACCUGGCUAAGAUUAGAGAACAGCAAGCUCCUAAAAAGGAGGAAAAUUCAGGAGCACAGGAGACUCUUUCACUGAGACUUUUUUUCUGAGUGGUCAUUUAUGAAGUGUUACAGAAUAAGGAGAAGCUCAAAAGCCAUGGAUAGUUCCUGAACUUUAUCAUUAAUCCCUGAAAAAAAAUUAUUUUCUUUUAGCAUUAUGUUUUAGCAUCAGACAUACUGAAUAUUCUCUUUAUGUUUCAUAUUUUUAAAUUGUUUUAAAUCAAUCUAAGCUAGAAAAAAGUUUUACCCUUCCCAUAUUUUCAUUUGCAUGGCAUUGCAGAGCAUUUCUGGUGAGCCAAAUUUGCAUCUUAUAAAAACAUUUGGUAUACAAAUAGUAUUCACAGAUCAUACAAAUGACUAACAAGGGUAUAUAGGAUUAGUAAGCAUUAAAAAAAUGCAUAAUCUAAAAAUAAACUUGCAUUUUUUGUUUUCAAAGCUGUAGAGAUUCCCAAGCCACCACGUCCUACUGCCUUAAUUCCAGCGGAAGGUAAAUGAAAUUAUUAAAUAUUCUAUUUCUUGCUGAGAUUUUUAUCCCUGCAUUGUAUUCUUAUGUACUAAGCUUCCAACUUAUUAUAAAAUUGCAGUCUCCUCUGCUACAGUAAAAUUAGCAGUCAAAAUAAUGGCUACUUUAUAUUGGGCAAAUUCCAGGAAAGAAACCUAGGCAAAUGUUUAUGUAGCCUCUCUGCAGUGGACACAGGGAGAGAAGUGGUUAGGGCUAGAAAGGAGGGAUCACCUCUUAUUAUUUCAUCUGUAGCUAACACGGAUGUUAAGCAUCAUAUGAAUAAUGUUAGCCUUAGUAUUUUUAAAGUUGUCAUACAAAAACAAUUAAUUGAUUAAUUACAAAAUUUCAAAUAUUAUCUUUAUUAAACUGACUAAAGGUUUAUAUUCAGUAUUCAAAAAUGUAGCUUUAAAAUUAGUACUGUUUUUGAAAGAAGAAUUGGAAUUGUAAGUAGCUGCAGAAAUAUUAAAUAUAAAUUCCAUAAAAAGAUCAAAUAUUAAGAUAUUCCAUGGGAAAAAAGCUAAGAGUUUUACAAAUUGGAGCUCCCACAAAACAAUGGAAGAUUGUGUUCAUUUAAGAAUAUUUACUGAAUGCCAUUUUGUACACAUGGGAAGAGUCCUCAGAUUAAGAGUAGACUGUCUCUUGUCCCUCCUGAUUGUGUUCCAUAAUCAACAAAAAUUUAAGCAGAACCACAACACAAAGAAAACAUAAGUAAUCAAACUGAUGCUAAAAUCUCAGACGCUGAUACUGCUAGAUGACUUCGACUUUUGUUCAGUGAAGUAAUUGUGUGGAUAUAAUUAAUAUGCUAAUAUUAUUUUGUUUGAUUUAUUGUAGCACCUGAAAUUAUUGAUGUAUCCUCCAAGGCUGAAGAAGUGAAAAUAACGACCAUAACCAGAAAGAAAGAGGUUCAGAAAGAAAAAGAAGCUGUGUAUGAGAGAAAACAAGCAGUCUACGAGGAGAAGAAAGUUUACAUAGAAUCUUUGGAAGAACCUUACGACGAGCUAGAGGUGGAACCGUAUACGGAGCCGUAUGAAGAGCCUUAUUAUGAGGAACCAGAGGAAGACUACGAAGAGACCCAGGUAGAAGCUAAGAGGGAAGUUCACGAGGAAUGGGAAGAAGACUUUGAAGAAGGGCAACAAUACUAUGAAAGGGAGGAAGGUUAUGACGAAGGAGAGGAAGAGUGGGAGGAGGCUUACCAAGAGAGAGAAGUCAUCCAAGUUCAGAAGGAGGUUUAUGAAGGUAUGUAUUAGUCGGGUGGUUUUUUCCUCUUUGCCUCAUUGUUGCUCAAUUCUAUUUUCAAGGUUAUUAACCUGAUUCAUGAUGAAUAUGAAAUAGAUGAAAAGACCGUUUCCAUUUUUAAAGUUAGAAAUCUUUAGAACCUUUAAAAGAAUUAUUUUCUUCAGAGUUACUUUCAUGCUUUGUAAAUUUAUAAAUUGAAUCAUUUAGUCCUGUUACUAAGACUGAAUUCUAAGUGCUCUUUUCUAAUGCGGAAGUUCAAGUUUUAGUUUUACUACCUUGCUAUCUCUGCUUGAUCUUGCUUCUAAAUCUGGCCUGGGUAAUCCUGUUAUCAAUACAGAUCCCAAAUACAGUAAUUUACACAGUUGUAUAUUAUUCUUAAUUUACAUCAUUUGCAAACUGAUACAAUUUAUUAGAAUUUACGUAUUCAACCACUCCUUUUAUUACUGUUUUUGUUAAAGAAUCACGUGAGAGGAAAAUUCCAGCAAAAGUACCUGAAAAGAAAGAAGUACCACCUCCUAAAGGUAUGUAAUUGGAAUUAUUUAAAUAGACCACAUCAUCAACAUCAUGAUCAUGGCUUGCUGGGCAAAGAUGUAUGAAUCACGAAUUUAAUCCAAUAGACACAACUUCUUCUUGAAACUUCAUUGUAUCAAUGAUUUUUUUCUAAGAAUAUCUACCUACUUCAUUUAAUGUAAACAUAAAAAAGAUGAUAAAAAGAUUGUUGUGGUAAGCAUAAAAUAAAGCCAAAAUACUUGAAGUACAGAAGCUUGUACUUGAAGUUCAGUGCAACAAACUUAUCUCUCUCUUUAAAAAAUGAAAGAAAAAGAGAGAGACUACUUUAAUAGAAAUUCUAAAAGUACUGCAAUUUUCUUAAAAUGCUUACAGUUGUAAAGAAGCCUGUAGUUGAAAAAAUUGAAAAGACUUCUCGAAGAAUGGAGGAAGAAAAAGUUCAAGUCACCAAAGGUAUUAUUAUUUAAAACAUUUCAUGCUUCUGGGUAGUAGCUGAAUUGGUGAUUUUUUUUCCCACCACAUUAUAUUUUUUAUACCUUCCAAAUAUUCCAUUGUUGUUGUUCAGUCACUAAGUCAUGUCCGACUCUAAGAACCCAUGAACUGCAACACACCAGGCUUCCCUGUCCUUCGCUAUCUCCUGGAGUUGGCUCAGAUUCAUGUCCAUUGAGUCAAUGAUCCCAUCCAACCACCUAAUCCUCUGUUGCCCCCAUCUCCUUUUGCCUUCAAUUGUUCCCAGCAUCAGGGUCUUUUCCAUUGAGUCGGCUCUUCGCAUCAGGUGGCCAAAAGUAUUGGAGCUUCAGUUUCAGCAUCAGUCCUUUCAAUGAAUAUCCAUUAUGUACAUCUAUUUUUAUAAUUUCAAAGUUAAUUAAGGAUUUUUCAAAAAAAAAAACUUUCUCUGUAAGUUGGAAGGAAUUUGAUUUCAAAAAACUGAUAAAACAUUUCAAGUACCAUGUACACAAGUAAUUGUUUACUAAUAUAUAGUCACGUUAGUUAUAUAGUCAUCUAAAUUAAGAUAUUUUUAAAUUUUGUGCAAAACAAUAUUCUUCACAAUACAAAUAUAUUUGUACAUAUUUUUUAAGUACCUGAAGUUUCAAAGAAGAUUGUUCCACAAAAACCUUCUCGGACUCCAGUGCAGGAAGAAAUUAUUGAAGUGAAAGGUAUACAUCUUUGUCUUUCAGCUACAAGUUUUAAACAUUUUUAUUUAUGUGUAUGGAUAUGUGUACAUAUAUUACUUAACAAUUCACAAAUAUGAAAUCACCAAAAUAAAGACAUAUUAUAUAAUAUACAUGUUAUGUUGCACAUUUAUAUAAUUUAUGUAAAUAAUAACCUUGUUUUUAGUUUCACUCUAAAAUUGCAUAAUUUUUUAAUUAAGGAAGGAUUUGUGUUUAAUCAGUAGUUCUCUAACUUCACUGUGCAGUGUUUUAUAUUGCAUAUAAUAUUCCCAUCCUCUCACUUAUAUGAAUAAGCCCUAAUGGAUUUGGGAAAACACCACAUCCCAUGUGAAGAAGUUGUCUCUAUUUGAUUCCAAUUUAAUAAUAUUUGAUAAAGGCUGCAUGGGUUGUUUGUCCCUAUAGAUCAAAACAUGAUUUGUUUCCUUGUCAAUACUGAAUUUGUUCUUAAGCUAUCAUAUUAACCCACUCAUUCUGCAACUAAAAACUUAAAUACAGCAUACACACCAUGUAUUUAAUCUGAUGUCUUUUCCUGGAAAAACGAAAUACUAAUGUGAAAUACUCUCUUUGAAGUACCUGCUGUACAUACAAAGAAGAUGGUUAUUUCAGAAGAAAAGAUGUUCUUUGCUGCUCACACAGAGGAGGAGGAGGUGUCAGUUACAGGUACAAGGCAAAUUUGAAUAUGGGGCUCAACUGGAAGGGCUUCAGAUGGAUUUUUAUCUCUCUUCUUAUCUAAUUUGUGUUUAUGUAGAUAUCUCUGUCUCCUUGUGAAUCUGUCAUCUUUUCAUUUCACAGUUGUCUGUUUUAAUUUGUAUUUCAAUAUUCUUUGUAAAUUGCAAUAUCACCUACAGU
ensembl:lncRNA